GGCUGUAGGCAAAGGAGGGCUACUCAGUGUUUGUGUCAGGUAAGGGCUGAGUGCUCCUAGAAGGAGGAACUGGGGUGUGUUGGUUUGGGGUUUUUUUUUAUCUCUUGUUGAGAGAAGCAGUGUUUUGGAGGGGCCUCACUGCUCUCUAUAACCUCCUGAAGGAGGUUGUGGUGGGGGGGUUGGCCUUUGCUCCUGGGUGAUGGUGAUAGGAUGAGAGGGCCGCUGCUGAGCACUGUGGACCCACAGGGAGGAUGAGCAGAGCAGGUCGGUGCUGUGGUCCCUCCUGGCCAGGACACGGAAGCUUCUGGCUCUGAAUUUAAACCCGAAGACAGUCGAGAUCUCAAUGACAGCCAGGCAGCGCGUUCAGAAUGACGUCCUUUACGAGCAUCAAACAGCAGCCUGGGAAUGUGUGACUUGGGCGUGAUACAUCAGCGCUCAGAAGGUGCACCCCCACCGAGAUCACACGCAGGAUGAGGAGCCUUCCCAACCCAAAUCCCAGUGUCAGUCCUAGCCUCAGUCCCAGUCCCAAUCCCAGUUCCAGAGCCACCAGGAUCUACGAAGAUUCCGGUCUCUCUCCAUGCCAUCUUAGCUGUGGCACUUCCAGUGACGAAUUCAUCGCUCAGGCAAUGGCUUUUCUCCUAAAAUCCUCUUCAGGGAACAAUUUUCCAACGUCGGAUACGGUGACUAAUUGAUAACUUUCUUUAAGGGGACUGCAUGAUAACUUUCUUUAAAGCCGUAUAUUACGAUCAGCAGGUUUUCAAAGGAA